rnacentral:rRNA from 1 species
UACGAAGGGGGCUAGCGUUGCUCGGAAUUACUGGGCGUAAAGGGCGCGUAGGCGGCACUGUUAGUCAGGCGUGAAAGUCCUGGGCUCAACCUGGGAACUGCGUCUGAUACUGGAUGGCUUGAAUCCGGGAGAGGGAUGCAGAAUUCCAGGUGUAGCGGUGAAAUGCGUAGAUAUCUGGAGGAAUACCGGUGGCGAAGGCGGCAUCCUGGACCGGCAUUGACGCUGAGGAGCGAAAGCUAGGGGAGCAAACGGG